UGUUUUUUAAUACUGGCCUCUGCCCUAUGUUUUUUAAAUGGCAGUCUUAGCGUGAGGACAUUAAGGUAGCAAAAUAGUUUGUGCUUUUAAUGGGUUCUAGUAUGAAUGAGGUUUUUGGUUAAUUAUUUAUUUGAUUUUUUAUGAAUUAAUAUUCUAUUUAAGAAUUAAUAGUUAUGGUUAAACAAAGAUAAGUCUUCGAAAAUUUUUUUAUUAAGGUGGCUUUUGUUAUUUUAAUAUUUUUUCUAGGGUAGUGUGAUUAUAUAAUUUUUGUUACUAUUAAUAUUUAAAAAAAUUACUUCGGAGUUAACAGAAAAUCAUACCUUGACUAGUUUCUUAUAGUAUGGGUAAGUUUUACAUCGAUGUUGUAUCCCAGUUGUGUCAGAGAGGAGUAGGCUGAAUUUUUUAGACUGUUCUUCUGUAAAUAAACUGGACGUGAUAUUAGUUUAAUUCAUCC
rnacentral:rRNA from 1 species